rnacentral:lncRNA from 1 species
UGGAAGGGCAGACUAACAAUUGUCAGUUGUUGAAAACUAUAAUCCCUAAUUAUGACACACAAAAAAGGAUUUGUUUUCGAAAAUGAGCAUUUAAACAUCCAAUUUAUCAAAACUAUCGUCAUGUACUUUUAGUAAAAAUUAGCUAUUCGAACACAUCUACUCAGUUUUUGUGAUUUGUUAGAAAGGUAUUUCACUUGACCCAUUUAUUUCAUCUUUUAGUACUGUGAAUUUCGUAAGUUAUAAAGUCAACCUUAGCCUUGAUAUGUAAAAAUGAUAGAAUCUGAAGCGAGAUGAGGUAUCACAUACCCUUGCUUUAUACGUUUUCAAGACAAAAUAUUCAACUGAAACACACCCUAACAUAAAAAGGUACACUAGAAUUUUCUUUUCGAUACAUUUGUUACCCA